CCUACGGGUGGCAGCAGUGAGGAAUAUUGGUCAAUGGGCGCAAGCCUGAACCAGCCAAGUAGCGUGAAGGAUGACUGCCCUAUGGGUUGUAAACUUCUUUUAUAAGGGAAUAAAGUGCAGCACGUGUGCCUUUUUGUCUGUACUUUAUGAAUAAGCAUCGGCUAACUCCGUGCCAGCAGCCGCGGUAAUACGGAGGAUCCGAGCGUUAUCCGGAUUUAUUGGGUUUAAAGGGAGCGUAGGUGGGUUGUUAAGUCAGUUGUGAAAGUUUGCGGCUCAACCGUAAAAUUGCAGUUGAUACUGGCAGUCUUGAGUACAGUAGAGGUAGGCGGAAUGCGUGGUGUAGCGGUGAAAUGCUUAGAUAUCACGAAGAACUCCGAUUGCGAAGGCAGCUUACUGGACUGCAACUGACGGUGAUGCUCGAAAGUGUGGGUAUCAAACAGGAUUAGAUACCCCAGUAGUC
rnacentral:rRNA from 1 species